AGCUAUCGCUUUUGGAUGGACCCGCGGCGUAUUAGCUAGUUGGUGAGGUAACGGCUCACCAAGGCAAUGAUACGUAGCCGAACUGAGAGGUUGAUCGGCCACAUUGGGACUGAGACACGGCCCAAACUCCUACGGGAGGCAGCAGUAGGGAAUCUUCCACAAUGGACGCAAGUCUGAUGGAGCAACGCCGCGUGAGUGAAGAAGGCUUUCGGGUCGUAAAACUCUGUUGUUGGAGAAGAAUGGUCGGCAGAGUAACUGUUGUCGGCGUGACGGUAUCCAACCAGAAAGCCACGGCUAACUACGUGCCAGCAGCCGCGGUAAUACGUAGGUGGCAAGCGUUAUCCGGAUUUAUUGGGCGUAAAGCGAGGGCAGGCGGUUUUUUAAGUCUGAUGUGAAAGCCCUCGGCUUAACCGAGGAAGUGCAUCGGAAACUGGGAAACUUGAGUGCAGAAGAGGACAGUGGAACUCCAUGUGUAGCGGUGAAAUGCGUAGAUAUAUGGAAGAACACCAGUGGCGAAGGCGGCUGUCUGGUCUGUAACUGACGCUGAGGCUCGAAAGCAUGGGUAGCGAACAGGAUUAGAUACCCUGGUAGUCCAUGCCGUAAACGAUGAAUGCUAGGUGUUGGAGGGUUUCCGCCCUUCAGUGCCGCAGCUAACACAUUAAGCAUUCCGCCUGGGGAGUACGACCGCAAGGUUGAAACUCAAAGGAAUUGACGGGGGCCCGCACAAGCGGUGGAGCAUGUGGUUUAAUUCGAAGCAACGCGAAGAACCUUACCAGGUCUUGACAUCUUUUGAUCACCUGAGAGAUCAGGUUUCCCCUUCGGGGGCAAAAUGACAGGUGGUGCAUGGUUGUCGUCAGCUCGUGUCGUGAGAUGUUGGGUUAAGUCCCGCAACGAGCGCAACCCUUAUGACUAGUUGCCAGCAUUUAGUUGGGCACUCUAGUAAGACUGCCGGUGACAAACCGGAGGAAGGUGGGGAUGACGUCAAAUCAUCAUGCCCCUUAUGACCUGGGCUACACACGUGCUACAAUGGAUGGUACAACGAGUUGCGAG
rnacentral:rRNA from 1 species